rnacentral:ncRNA from 1 species
CAAAAAACGAUGAUCGAGAAGAGUAGCUUGCCGAUCGCCAUUCAGGGAGAAAACGCCAUAGACUGCGAGCGUUUUUAUGGUGGAAGCAAGUGAAUUCACCUCGGGAGUUGGCGCUUGGACCAUUUUGCGCAUGCAAAAUGUAAAGGCGUUCCGGUGUAAACCGUUAUCUGAAUGAAGUGAGCUAUGCGAACGACAUAGCUAACAAGGGUGGUACCGCGAGUGCACUCGUCCCUUAU